AGCGAACGCUGGCGGCAGGCUUAACACAUGCAAGUCGAGCGGGCACUUUCGGGUGUCAGCGGCGGACGGGUGAGUAACGCGUGGGAACGUGCCCUCUGGUUCGGAAUAACUCAGGGAAACUUGAGCUAAUACCGGAUACGCCCUUUUGGGGAAAGGCUUGCUGCCGGAGGAUCGGCCCGCGUCUGAUUAGCUAGUUGGUGAGGUAACGGCUCACCAAGGCGACGAUCAGUAGCUGGUCUGAGAGGAUGAUCAGCCACACUGGGAUUGAGACACGGCCCAGACUCCUCCGGGAGGAAGCAGUGGGGAAUUUUGGAAAAUGGGCCCAAGCCUGAUCCAGCCAUGCCGGGGGAGUGAUGAAGGCCUUAGGUUUGUAAAGCUCUUUUUCCCGGGACGAUAAUGACGGUCCCGGAGGAAUAAGCCCCGGCUAACUUCGG
rnacentral:rRNA from 1 species